rfam:Dipodomys ordii contig_28804, whole genome shotgun sequence.
GGAAAUGUUGGCUUAGUGGUAGAGUGCUUGCCUAGCAUGCAUGAAGCCCCAGGUUCGAUUCCUCAGUACCA